GAUGAACGCUGGCGGCGUGCUUAACACAUGCAAGUCGAACGGAAAGGCCCAAGCUUGCUUGGGUACUCGAGUGGCGAACGGGUGAGUAACACGUGGGUGAUCUGCCCUGCACCUCGGGAUAAGCCUGGGAAACUGGGUCUAAUACCGGAUAGGACCACUUCUUGGAUGUUGUGGUGGAAAGUUUUUUCGGUGUGGGAUGAGCUCGCGGCCUAUCAGCUUGUUGGUGGGGUAAUGGCCUACCAAGGCGUCGACGGGUAGCCGGCCUGAGAGGGUGUACGGCCACAUUGGGACUGAGAUACGGCCCAGACUCCUACGGGAGGCAGCAGUGGGGAAUAUUGCACAAGGGGCGCAAGCCUGAUGCAGCGACGCCGCGUGGGGGAUGACGGCCUUCGGGUUGUAAACGCCUUUCGCUAGGGACGAAGCGUUUUGUGACGGUACCUGGAGAAGAAGCACCGGCUAACUACGUG
rnacentral:rRNA from 1 species